ensembl:lncRNA
GAUAUCGCGAUAGGAGUGAUAAUGUGGCAAGGAUAUCGCGAUAGGAGUGAUAGUGUGGCAGGGAUAUCGUGAUAGGAACAAUAGCAUGGCAGAGAUAUCGCGAUAGGGAUGAUAAUGGGACAGGGAUAUCGCAAUAGGGAUGAUAGAGUGGCACUGAUAUCGCGAUAGGAGUGAUAAUGUGGCAAGGAUAUCGCGAUAGGAGUGAUAGUGUGGCAGGGAUAUCGUGAUAGGAACAAUAGCAUGGCAGAGAUAUCGCGAUAGGGAUGAUAAUGGGACAGGGAUAUCGCGAUAGGGAUGAUAGAGUGGCACUGAUAUCGCGAUAGGAGUGAUAAUGUGGCAAGAAUAUCGCGACAGGAACGAUAUUGUGGCAGGGAUAUCGCGAUAGGGCCUAUAUCGCGAUAGGGCCUAUAGAUAAUGUGAUAGGGCUCCCAGAUAUCGCGAUAGGGCGGAUAUAUAUCACAAUAGGGCUGAUAUAUAUUGCGAUAGGGCCAACAGAUACCGUGAUAGGACCGAUAGAUAUCACGAUAGGGCAUACAGAUAUCGUGAUAGGGCCUAUAUAGCGAUAGGGCCUAUAGGUAUCGUGAUAGAGCUCACAGAUAUCAUGACAGGGCUUAUAGAUAUCGUGAUAGGGCUCACAGAUAUCACAAUAGGGCCACUAGAUACCGCGAUAGGGCCAAUAGAUAUCACGAUAGGGCCAACAGAUAUCGCGAUAAGGCCGAUACAUAUCACGAUAGGGCCAAUAUAAACAGCGAUAGGGCCUGUAUUGCGAUAGAGCCUAUAGAUAUCAUGACAGGGCCUGCAGAUAUCGCGACAGGGCUCACAGGUAUCGCGAUAGGGCCUAUAGAUAUCACGAUAGGGCUGACAGGUAUCGCGAUAAGGCCAAUAGAUAUCGCAAUAGGGCCAACAGAUAUGGUGAUAAGGCUGAUACAUAUCGUGAUAGGGCCAAUAUGAACAGCGAUAGGGCCUGUAUUGCGAUAGAGCGUAUAAAUAUCAUGACAGGGCCUACACAUAUCGCGAUAGGGAUCACAGGUAUUGUGAUAGGGCCUAUAGAUAUCACGAUAGGGAUCAAAGGUAUCGCGAUAAGGCCAAUAGAUAUCGCAAUAGGGCCAACAGAUAUGGUGAUAAGGCUGAUACAUAUCGUGAUAGGGCCAAUAUAAACAGCAAUAGGGCCUGUAUUGCGAUAGAGCGUAUAAAUAUCAUGACAGGGCCUACACAUAUCGCGAUAGGGAUCACAGGUAUUGCGAUAGGGCCUAUAGAUAUCACGAUAGGGCUCACAGGUAUCGCGAUAAGGCCUAUAGAUAUCACAAUGGGGCUCACAGAUAUCGCAAUAGGGCCAAUAGAUACCGCGAUAGGGCCGACAGAUAUCACGAUAGGGCCAACAGAUAUCGCGAUAGGGCCAACACAUAUCGCGACAGGGGGAUAUGGCGUAUAGGGCCGCACCUGCCAGGUUGAGGUGGCGCAGCGCGUGGGGCCGCCCCCCCAGCGCCGCCUGC